GCACGAGGAGUUCCGGGCACCCGGCGGUGGGGACUCGUAUAACAGUGCCUCGUUUGCCUACAGUCCGCUCAGUUCCCUGUUUUCUUCUAGUGGAUUCCCACCUCGAGUACUGUGCCCAGCUCUGGGUCCCUCAUUUCGGGAGGGACGCUGAGGUGCUGGAGCGGGUCCAGACAAGGGCAACAGAGCUGGUGAGGGGUCUGGAGCACAAGUCCUGUGAGGAGUGGCUAAGGGAGCUGGUGGUGUUCAGCUUGGAGGGAAGGAGGCUCAGGAGUGACCUUAUCAUUCUGCAGCUCCGUGAAAGGAAGUUGUAGCCAGGCAGAAGGGAAGGACUGGCAGGUACCCCCUCAGUGUGAAACAGGCUGUAGCUGGGCAGGAAGGACAGACAGACCUGGCAGUGACCUACAGGAACCUCCAGUCCUGCCUGGGCAGGACAGUGCCUGUGCUCUGCUCCCUUUCUGCUGUCUGCUGCUGCACUCUGGAGAAGCCAAACCUCAGAAGGACAAGAGCAGGACACAUGGCAUGAGCUUUCACAGCUGGAAGGGAAAGGAGGUCCUGGCCAUGCCCUGCUGCUGUGAGAGGCUCACCCAGCUCAGCUGCAGCAGGGCAGGAUGAGAACUGAAGCUUUAGCAGCACUCGGUGCAUUUGGCAGGAGGGUCCUAUACCACCGGGAAACUCCUGCCUGCAUGCAAAAAUGCAUCUAUGGGAUGUUUUGUGUCCCUGUACAAUGCAAACCACAGUCACCAGCCUGCACAGACAGCGGGAGCAGCAAGCUUGAGCUGUUUGAAGUGGAACAUUUGGCAGGGGGGCCUUGCACUUUCCCUGGAAAACUGGAGCCUGUGCAAGACCUUCCUGUUAAUGUCCAGAGCCAGAGCAGCCUCCUCUGUGCCUGGGCGAUGCAAGCAGCCCUUUUAUCUGGGAGACCUGCCAGGCAGCAGAAGCAGGCAAGGAAACAGCAAAGUUAAACUGGUCUGAGGUUGACUCAAGCCAACGUGAACUGGUCUGAAGUGGAAUAACAACCUGAUCCUAUCAGCCAUUUCUCCUGGUACGACCCGUCAGUAGCCUUCCUGCCCCAGCCAGUGGCAGUGUUACGAGGUAUGGCUUAAU